GGGAAGUUAGGUAAAGUAUGGCUUAUCUGGGGGAAGGUGUACAAGACAUGCUACACUUAUCCAAAGCUUUUGUGGUCCAUUAUACUUUAC